rnacentral:lncRNA from 1 species
AGAUGCUGACCUCACAGACUCCCUGAAAGGAUCUCCAUGACCUCUAUGGUUCCUUAGACUGCACUUUGAGAACUAUUGACGUACAGGGAAAAAUGCUCUUGGUGCCAAGAAGGGAUUCCGAAGAUAGAAGAGGAGGCAUCAACACCGUGAACAUCAUGGCUGAGUUAUUUUGUGAGAGGGAUAAGCCUAAAGUAAAAACCUUGGAUUUGCCUCUGUCCUUGAACAUGCUAUCUGGAAAGAGUUUUCUUAAAAGUAUUGUUGUGAACACAUCCAUUUUCCCAGUAUAGUUGAAUGCAGGGUUUAAUAAAUGGAAUGA